GGGUUCCGCUUGACUCUGCAUUCUCCUACUUCCCUGCCUGCUUACUCUCUGCCAUCAUAGUUUUUUGCUUCAACCUUCAAAUGUAGCCAUUCUUUUUCUAAAGCGGUACUUAUUCUCUUUAUUAGUUAAAAUUAUUAAUUUUAUGCACUUACUGUUCUAGCUCCAAUUUUGCAUUUCCAGUUCCCUGCUGGGAAUAAAUUAAAUUGGCAGAAGCUCAGUCUAAGUGCCUGCAACAGAAUUUGUCCCAUAUCCAUACAACUUGCUCCUCCACAACAAAUGGGAGAAUCAUCCUCUUACCUCCAGGUUGUACAGGAAACAGCUGGGGAGGCCUCAGGAAACUUACAAUCAUGGCACAAGGUGAAGAGGAAGGAGUUACGUUUUGCACGGCCAGAGAAGUAGGAAGAGCGUAAAGUGGGAGGUGCUACACAUUUUUGGACAACUAGAUCUCGUGAGAACUCAAUAUCACAAGAACAGCAAGGGGAAAAUCCACGCCCAUGAUCCAGUCACCUCCCACCAGGUCCCUCUUCCAACACUGGGGAUUAAAAUUCAACAUGAGAUUCAAGAGGAGACACAAAUCCAAACCAUAUCAAGGCUGUGAUGGAGGAGAAGCUACCCCUCAGCACAGGAUUUUGGUAGAAUAAGAAUAAAAAUGACAAGUCCCUUCCUGAAAAGCUCUUCAUUGUCUCUUGAAAACGGUCUGUGAAAGUGCCAAACCACCAGCUCUCCAGAUGUGGCUGAAUAUCAAGGCAUCCUCACAUGGUGGAAGGGACAGAAGGCAAAAAAGGGAGGAACACUGUGUCCUCACAUGGCAGAAGAGCAGAAGA
ensembl:lncRNA MLIP-AS1 MLIP antisense RNA 1